rnacentral:rRNA from 1 species
AUUUGAAAUCUGGCACCUUCGGUGUCCGAGUUGUAAUUUGAAGAUUGUAACCUUGGGGUUGGCUCUUGUCUAUGUUUCUUGGAACAGGACGUCACAGAGGGUGAGAAUCCCGUGCGAUGAGAUGCCCAAUCCUAUGUAAGGUGCUUUCGAAGAGUCGAGUUGUUUGGGAAUGCAGCUCUAAGUGGGUGGUAAAUUCCAUCUAAAGCUAAAUAUUGGCGAGAGACCGAUAGCGAACAAGUACAGUGAUGGAAAGAUGAAAAGAACUUUGAAAAGAGAGUGAAAAAGUACGUGAAAUUGUUGAAAGGGAAGGGUUUGAGAUCAGACUCGAUAUUUUGUGAGCCUUGCCUUCGUGGCGGGGUGACCCGCAGCUUAUCGGGCCAGCAUCGGUUUGGGCGGUAGGAUAAUGGCGUAGGAAUGUGACUUUGCUUCGGUGAAGUGUUAUAGCCUGCGUUGAUGCUGCCUGCCUAGACCGAGGACUGCGAUUUUAUCAAGGAUGCUGGCAUAAUGAUCCCAAACCGCCCGUCUUGAACCACGGACCAA